CAAAGAACCAGCUCUUGGUUUUAUUAAUUUUCUCUAUUGUUUUUUGAGUCUCUAUUUUAUUGAUUUCUUCUUUGAUCUUUAUAAUUUCCUUCCUUCUGCUGACUUUAGGACUUUUUUGUUCUUCUUUUUCUAAUUCGUUUAGGUGGAGGGUUAAGUUGUCAAUUUGGGAUCUUUCUUCUUUUUUGAGAAAGGCCUGUAUUGCUAUAAAUUUCCCUCUGAGCACUGCUUUCGCAGCAUCCCAUAGAUUUUGAGAGGUUGUGUCUUCAUUAUCAUUUGUUUCAAGGUAUUUUUUGAUUUCCUUCUUGAUUUCCUCAUUGACCCAUUGGUUUUUUAGUAGCAUGUUGUUUAGUCUCCAUGUAGUAGGUUUUUUCUCUUUCCUUUUCCCAUGGUUGAUUUCUAAUUUCAUGGCAUUGUGGUCAGAGAAGAUACUUGAGAUAAUUUCUAUGCUCCUAAAUUUAUUGAGAUUCGCUUUGUGUCCCAAUAUGUGGUCGAUUCUUGAGAAUGUUCCAUGAGCAUUUGAGAAGAAUGUGUAUUCUGAUUUUUUUGGAUGUAGUGUCCUGAAGAUAUCAAUUAAGUCUAACUUUUCUAUUGUUUCCUUUAGGAUCUCUGUUGCUUUAUUGGUUUUCUGUCUAGAGGAUCUGUCCAUUGAUGUGAGGGGGGUAUUUAGGUCUCCUACUAUGAUUGUAUUCUCAUCAAUAUCUCCCUUUAUGUCUGUUAAUAUUUGUUGUAUGUAUCUGGGUGCUCCUAUAUUUGGGGCAUAUAUGUUGAUGAUAGUAACAUCCUCUCCUUGGAUGGAUCCCUUAAUCAUUAAAUAUGUCCUUCUUUGUCUUUCUUUAUGUCUUUUGUUUUAAAGUCUAUUUUUUCUGAUAUGAGUGUUGUGACUCCUGCUUUUCUGUCAUGUCUAUUGGCAUGAAAUAUUUUCCCCCACCCUUUCACUUUCAAUCUAUAUGUAUCCUUUGUCCUAAGGUGAGUUUCUUGUAGGCAGCAUAUUGAAGGUUUUUGCCUUUUUAUCCACUCAGCCACUCUGUGUCUUUUGAUUGGGGCAUUCAGUCCAUUGACAUUUAAGGUGAUAAUUGAUAGAUGAUUAUUUAUUGCCAUUUGAACCUCGUGUUCCAGUUGAUUCUAUGGUUCUCCAUUCUUCCUUUCUUUUUUUUUUUUUUUUUGGUUGGAUGGUCUCCUGUUAUUAUCUGCUUGAGUGUUUUUUUUUUUUCAUUUUUUGCAAAUGCAAUAUUUGGUUUUGGCUUGUGGUUGCCCUGUUUUUUAAGUAUGCUAACCCCUUCCCAUAAUUGUGUGUUUUAGCCUGAUGGUCCUGUAAGUUCAAACACUUCAUUACUAUAUUAAAAUUAAGAAGAGAAACAUACAAACAAACAAAAAGGGUUAUUUACUUCCUAACAUCCCUUGCCCACAUUUUAUGGUUUUGAUGACUCUUUUUUAUUUUUUUCUUUUUAAUUUUAUUUUGUUUGAAGCAUGUUCAUGAUUAAAUCUGUAUGCUGGCUUAUUUGAGUGACUGCUCUCUGAUUGCGGUUUCCUCAGUCCUAGUUCUUCCUCUUCUUCUUCUUCUUUUUUUUUUUUUUUUCUUUUCUUUUUUCUUCCCUUUCCUUCCUUUCUUUUUGGUUUAGAGAAGCCCUUUCAAUAUUUCCUUUAACCUGGGUUUUGUGUUGCUGUAUUCUUUAAGUUUUUGUUUGUUGGGAAAAAUUUUUAUUUCCCCUUCUAUUUUAAAUGAUAUUCUUGCUGGAUAGAGUAUUCUAGGUUGCAUAUUUUUUCCUUUUAGCACUUUAAAUAUCUCUUGCCAUUCCCUCCUGGCCUGUAGUGUUUCUGUAGAGAAAUCAGCUGAUAUUCUUAUGGGGGUUCCCUUGUAGGUAACAUUCUGCUUUUCUCUUGCUGCCUUUAGGAUCCUCUCUUUAUCACUAACUUUUGCCAUUUUUAUUAUGAUGUGUCUUGGUGUGGGUCUAUUUGGGUUCAACUUGUUUUGGGCCCUCUGUGCUUCCUGUAUCUUGAAAUCAGUAUCCUUUAGAUUUGGGAAGUUUCCAGCGAUAAUUUCUUCAAAUAUAUUUUCCAUUCCCUAUCUUUUUGUACUCCUCCUGGAAUUCCUAUUAUGCGUAGAUUGGCCCACUUUAUAUUAUCCCAUAGGUCUCUUAUAUUGCUUUCCUGUUUUUUGAUUUGGUUUUCUGCCUGCUGACCUGAUUGGGUGAUUUCCAUUAUUCUAUCUUCCACAUCACUGAUUCGUUCUUCUGCAUCAUUCAUUCUGGUUUUUACUGCCCUUAGUUCAGUUUGUAUCUCUGCAAAUGAAUGUUCUAGUUUUUCUUGGCUCCUCCCCAUAUUUUCUAGUUCCUUUCUGAGGGUAUCUGCAUUACUGUUCAUAUCUUCUCUUAAUUCCUUCAGUGUUUUCACUAUUUCUCUUUUGAACUCCAGGUCUGUCAGGCUGCAGAGUUUUGUUUCAUUGUCGACUACUUUAGGUGAGUUCCCCUGUUGGUUUGACUAGGGGUGGUUUCUCAGCUUCUUCAUCUUGCUUGUUGUUUUCUUUCUCCUGAGGGAGUUCUACUCUCCGUGACCGGACAGUGUUUGCCUUGUCACUGCCGUGGAAUGUUUCCUGAGGGCUGGCAUUGUUGGUCAGUCUAUUUUGAGGCAGUGUGGCUUUUCUGGAGUGUUGAUGGGGCUAACAGGGUCCCUUUGAAACAAAGGAGGACUUCCUGAGGGCAGACAGGUCUGGAAGGUCCACACCACGAUGGUAGCAGAUUUCACUUGGUCAUGCAGAGCUUGCUCUGGUGUUUUUAGGCUGUGGGGGUUCUUGCAGGGGGUUGGCAGUGUUGAGCAGCUGUUCCUCAGGA
rnacentral:lncRNA from 1 species